rnacentral:rRNA from 1 species
AGGAUAAACGCUGGCGGCGUGCCUAACACAUGCAAGUCGAACGUCUCUUCUUUCGGGAAGAGGAGUGGCGGACGGGUGAGGAACACGUGGGAACCUGCCCUUCAGUGAGGAAUACCGGCGAGAAAUCGCCGACAAGACCGCAUAGCCCUCUCUGGUGAGAGCCAGAGAAGGAAAGCCUCGCAAGAGGCGCUGGAGGAGGGGCCUGCGUCCGAUUAGCUAGUUGGUGGGGUAAGAGCCUACCAAGGCGUCGAUCGGUAGCUGGUCUGAGAGGACGAUCAGCCACACUGGGAUUGAGAACGGCCCAGACUCCUACGGGGGGCAGCAGUGAGGAAUUUUCGGCAAUGGGGGAAACCCUGACCGAGCAACGCCGCGUGCAGGAAGACGGCCUUCGGUGUAACUGCUUUCUUUGGGUACGAGCAAGGACGGUACCAGAGGAAUCAGCCCGGCUCACUACGUGCCAGCAGCCGC